AGUGAACGCUGGCGGUAGGCCUAACACAUGCAAGUCGAACGGCAGCACAGUAAGAGCUUGCUCUUACGGGUGGCGAGUGGCGGACGGGUGCGGAAUACAUCGGAAUCUACUUUUUCGUGGGGGAUAACGUAGGGAAACUUACGCUAAUACCGCAUACGACCUACGUGUGAAAGCAGGGGAUCUUCGGACCUUGCGCGAUUGAAUGCGCCGAUGUCGGAUUAGCUAGUCGGCGGGGUAAAGGCCCACCAAGGCGACGAUCCGUAGCUGGUCUGAGAGGAUGAUCAGCCACACUGGAACUGAGACACGGUCCAGACUCCUACGGGAGGCAGCAGUGGGGAAUAUUGGACAAUGGGCGCAAGCCUGAUCCAGCCAUACCGCGUGGGUGAAGAAGGCCUUCGGGUUGUAAAGCCCUUUUGUUGGGAAAGAAAAGCAGCAGGUUAAUACCCCGCUGUUCUGACGGUACCCAAAGAAUAAGCACCGGCUAACUUCGUG
rnacentral:rRNA from 1 species